rnacentral:rRNA from 1 species
CCUACGGGCGGCUGCAGUAAGGAAUAUUGGUCAAUGGAGGAAACUCUGAACCAGCCAUCCCGCGUGAAGGAUGAAGGGGCUCUGCCUUGUACACUUCUUUUGUCUGGGGCGAAAAAGCUCGAUUUAUCGAGAACUGACGGUACCAGAAGAAUAAGCACCGGCUAACUCCGUGCCAGCAGCCGCGGUAAUACGGAGGGUGCCAGCGUUACCGGGUAUAACGGGGUUGAAAGGGUGCGUGUACGUCAGAGUAGAAAGGCGGUGGCGUAACCAUGGAAUUGCCAUUGAUACUGCAGAGCUUGAAUGAGGUUGAGGUUGGCGGAAUGUGACAUGUAGCGGUGAAAUGCUUAGAUAUGUCAUGGAACACCGAUUGCGAAGGCAGCUGACUGGACCUAUAUUGACGCUGAGGCACGAAAGCGUGGGGAGCGAACAGGAUGAGAUACCCCAGUAGUC